rnacentral:rRNA from 1 species
CAGCCGCCACGGUAAUACGUAGGUGGCAAGCGUUGUCCGGAAUUAUUGGGCGUAAAGGGCUCGCAGGCGGUUUCUUAAGUCUGAUGUGAAAGCCCCCGGCUCAACCGGGGAGGGUCAUUGGGAACUGGGAAACUUGAGUGCAGAAGAGGAGAGUGGAAUUCCACGUGUAGCGGUGAAAUGCGUAGAGAUGUGGAGGAACACCAGUGGCGAAGGCGACUCUCUGGUCCGUAACUGUCGCUGAGGAGCGAAAGCGUGGGGAGCGAACAGGAUUAGAUACCCCCGUAGUCCCUGUCUCUUAUAC